rnacentral:rRNA from 1 species
UACAGAGGGUGCGAGCGUUAAUCGGAAUUACUGGGCGUAAAGCGCGCGCAGGCGGUCAUUUAAGUCUGGUGUUUAAUCCUGGGGCUCAACCCCAGUUCGCAUCGGAAACUGAAUGACUUCGAGUGUGGGAGAGGAAAGUGGAAUUCCUGGUGUAGCGGUGAAAUGCGUAGAUAUCAGGAGGAACACCGGUGGUGUAGACGGCUUUCUGGACCGUAACUGACGCUGAGACACGAAAGCGUGGGUAGCAAACAGG